CAGUAGCCGCGGUAAUACGAAGGGUGCAAGCGUUAAUCGGAAUUACUGGGCGUAAAGCGUGCGUAGGCGGUGAGCUAAGUCUGCUGUGAAAUCCCCGGGCUCAACCUGGGAAUGGCAGUGGAUACUGGCUCGCUAGAGUGUGUCAGAGGAUGGUGGAAUUCCCGGUGUAGCGGUGAAAUGCGUAGAGAUCUGGAGGAAUACCGGUGGCGAAGGCGGCCCACUGGCCCGGAACUGACGCUGAAGCACGACAGCGUGGGGAGCAAACAGGAUUAGAGACCCCGGUAGUCCCUGUCUCUUAUAC
rnacentral:rRNA from 1 species